AUUGAACGCUGGCGGCAUGCUUUAAACAUGCAAGUCGGACGAGUGGCGAACGGGUGAGUAACGCAUAGGAACGUAACGAGUAAUGGGGGAUAACUGUCGGAAAGGAAAGGUAAUACAGCAUAUUAUACGAGCGGCAGAUGUCUGAUUAGCUGGUUGGCGGGGUAAAGGCCCACCCAGGCGACGAUCAGUAGCGGGUCUGAGAGGAUGAUGCGCCACACUGGGACUGAGACACGGCCCAGACUCCUACGGGAGGCAGCAGUGGGGAAUUUGGGACAAUGGGCGCAAGCCUGAUCCAGCCAUGCCGCGUGUCUGAAGAAGGCCUUCGGGUUGUAAAGGACUUUUGUCAGGGAAGCGGUACCUGAAGAAUAAGCACCGGCUAACUACGUGCCAGCAGCCGCGGUAAUUC
rnacentral:rRNA from 1 species